UACGUAGGUGGCAAGCGUUGUCCGGAUUUACUGGGCGUAAAGAGCGCGCAGGCGGUUAAUUAAGUCGAAUGUGAAAGCCCCCGGCUCAACUGGGGAGGGUCAUUCGAUACUGAUUGACUUGAAGGCAGGAGAGGGUAGUGGAAUUCCCGGUGUAGUGGUGAAAUGCGUAGAUAUCGGGAGGAACACCAGUGGCGAAGGCGACUUCCUGGCCUGUUCUUGACGCUGAGGCGCGAAAGCUAGGGGAGCAAACGGG
rnacentral:rRNA from 1 species